GAAAUGCGAUAAUUAAUGUGAAUUGCAGAAUUCAGUGAAUCAUCUAGUCUUUGAACGCACAUUGCGCCCCCUGGUAUUCCGGGGGCAUGCCUGUCCGAGCGUCAUUGCUGCCCUCAAGCACGGCUUGUGUGUUGGGCUUCCGUCCCUGGCAACGGGGACGGGCCCAAAAGGCAGUGGCGGCACCAUGUCUGGUCCUCGAGCGUAUGGGGCUUUGUCACCCGCUCCCGUAGGUCCAGCUGGCAGCUAGCCUCGCAACCAAUCUUUUUAACCAGGUUGACCUCGGAUCAGGUAGGGAUACCCGCUGAACUUAAGC
rnacentral:misc_RNA from 1 species